GAUGAACGCUGGCGGCGUGCCUAAUACAUGCAAGUCGAGCGAACAGACGAGGAGCUUGCUCCUUUGACGUUAGCGGCGGACGGGUGAGUAACACGUAGGUAACCUACCUAUAAGACUGGGAUAACUUCGGGAAACCGGAGCUAAUACCGGAUAAUAUUUCGAACCGCAUGGUUCGAUAGUAAAAGAUGGCUUUGCUAUCACUUAUAGAUGGACCUGCGCCGUAUUAGCUAGUUGGUAAGGUAACGGCUUACCAAGGCAACGAUACGUAGCCGACCUGAGAGGGUGAUCGGCCACACUGGAACUGAGACACGGUCCAGACUCCUACGGGAGGCAGCAGUAGGGAAUCUUCCGCAAUGGGCGAAAGCCUGACGGAGCAACGCCGCGUGAGUGAUGAAGGUCUUCUGAUCGUAAAACUCUGUUAUUAGGGAAGAACAAACGUGUAAGUAACUGUGCACGUCUUGACGGUACCUAAUCAGAAAGCCACGGCUAACUACGUG
rnacentral:rRNA from 1 species